GACGAACGCUGGCGGCGUGCUUAACACAUGCAAGUGGAGCGACGAACCAGGGCUUGCCCUGGGGCAGAGCCGCGAACGGGUGAGUAACACGUGGGUAACCUACCCCGAUGACCGGGACAACCCGAGGAAACUCGGGCUAAUACCGGAUGUUGUCGUUUUCUCUAAGGAAACCGACUAAAGAUAGCUUCGGCCUUCGCAUCGGGACGGGCCCGCGGCCCAUUAGCUUGUGGGUGGGGUAACGGCCUACCAAGGCGACGAUGGGUAGCUGGUCUGAGAGGACGAUCAGCCACACUGUGACUGAGACACGGCCCAGGCUCCUACGGGAGGCAGCAGUGGGGAAUCUUGCGCAAUGGGCGAAAGCCUGACGCAGCAACGCCGCGUGGGGGAAGAAGGCCUUCGGGUUGUAAACCCCUUUCAGUUGGGACGAAGCUUCCAGAGUUAAUAGCUUUGUGGAGUGACGGUACCUUCAGAAGAAGCCCCGGCUAACUACGUGCCAGCAGCCGCAGUAAAAC
rnacentral:rRNA from 1 species